GAUGAAGAACGUAGCGAAAUGCGAUAAGUAAUGUGAAUUGCAGAAUUCAGUGAAUCAUCGAAUCUUUGAACGCACAUCGCGCCCGCCAGUAUUCUGGCGGGCAUGCCUGUUCGAGCGUCAUUUCAACCCUCAGGGCCCUUUUGGACCUGGCGUUGGGGCUCGGCCGCUACCCUGCGGCCGUCCCCGAAAGAUAGUGGCGGUCUCGCUGUAGCCUCCUCUGCGUAGUAGUUACAUCUCGCACUGGAACGCGGCGCGGCCAUGCCGUUAAACACCCCACUUCUCAAGGUUGACCUCGGAUCAGGUAGGAAUACCCGCUGAACUUAAGCAUAUCAAUAAGCGGAGGA
rnacentral:misc_RNA from 1 species